rnacentral:rRNA from 1 species
CGGUGAAUACGUUCCCGGGCCUUGUACACACCGCCCGUCACGCCAUGGGAGUUGGUGUCGCCCGAAGCGGCCUUUGGGUCACUACGGCAAUACCGAUGACUGGGGUG